AUCCUGGUAGCAGUGGGUGAUGAAGAGAGAAAUGAAGGAAGGACAGGGGAGAAUGUGCCAUACAAAAAGGGUGAUGUGGAAGAAAGUUCAAAGGUGUUUACAGGAGCAGAGGCUGAAGGCUGGCAUAAUUGGUGACAUCAGAUACAAUAGCACAUGCAUAGGAAGGGCUAAAAUGUGAAGCGAUUUAAAGGAAGAAAGAAAAUGCCAUAUUGGAUGAGACCAGUGAGCCAGCUGUUUUUUCUGUUAACUCAAAAUGUCAUGACCUUGAGCCUGUUCCAGGUGGUUACAAGCUCAGUGCAUGAGGAUGGCUACCUUUUGGUUCUUGUUGUUUGGAUGGAGGAGGAGAUUUAUUAUAAUUUUCUCAAGUCAGAUUAUCACCUCAUCAUGUUUGAAGUCAGACCUCCUUUUUGAGCAAAAACCCUGUCGCUCAUCUGCCUUGCUGAAGGAAACUGAUGGACCCAAGUCAGUUUCAAAUGUCUUCUAAAGAUAAUGCUGUCAAGAACCUGUAAAAAAAGGUUAUAAUCUUUUGUCAUCCUCAGCCAUUGAUAAAAUGGCUCCCAAAUAUCUUCUUCUCCUAUAUCAUGCCUCAUACAAGCCUCUUUGUACACAGAUGACCUUCAAUAGAUAAAUGCAUGGGGGGAGAGAGCAGAUUAGAGCAGCAGUGGGAGAAGAACACAUUUGAAGUCAAAUGAGUUGCAGCAGAAACAGCUUGAAGUGUUCUCUAUUACAUCUGUCAGGGUGGCAAAGAAGAUUUAAUUCUCCUCAAAGAUAGAAUUUCCUCAAAGACAGAGCCCAAAAAAUCCCAUUAAACCUUGGUUUUGGUCAUGUACAGCAUGGCAAAUUCAGUCAAUGACCACCUUUAAACAAAAUG